CGGGAAUUUCUAAUUCAGUGUCUUCUAAUUCUCCCGCAUUCAUUGAGGGACCAGUCACAGCACUGCCCAGGCGCUGGAGACAUUAAUGAUCACGUGCCGUCCUGCUGUACCCGCCCCUCGUUCACUCCGAUUGGUUGGAGGACCAGCCGCGUCCGGUGGUCCGCCAGUCCCACCCAUUCACCUCCUAUUGGUAGGUGAGCUGCCGUCAAUCAGUCAGGCCCCAUUGUGAGGUGAAUGGCGGGAUCCACCCUCUCUCUGCCCUGAGAUGAGCUUGCGGCUGGUGGCCAUUCAACCCGUUGGAAUUGUACUCUCUCACUCGAGAAACGGCGUCGGGCUCGAUCCUGUCUCUUUUUUGGAGCAGCAACCGCAGAAGAACGGGGAGGGGCGGCUCCCCGAGCGGCUUCUUCAGAAGAAGGGUCUAGGCCCGAAACGUCAGCCUUCCUGCUCCUCUGAUGCUGCUUGGCCUGCUGUGUUCAUCCAGCUCUACACCUUGUUAUCUCCCGAUUCCUGUUGGCUGCUUCAGGCUUUCCCCGUCCCGGGCGCUGGUGUCACAACGCAGCGGCUGUCCAGUGAGGUUGCGAGUGAGACUCCCUCCUGUGUGCAACAUCUGGGAGCAAAGCAAUGUCUUUUUCUUUUCAUUUUUCUUGUCUGUUUCUUUUCUCAUUCUGGAGGUAGUGAGAUGGAGGAAAUUGUUUACUAACAGCAAUUGAAGGUACAGGAAGUGAAACCAGUGAGGCAACAGACACUGGAAAGAUUAAUUAAAGUAACUCACAGCCACCUUGUCAGGAGCAGCUGGGUAAUAAAUGCUGGCCUAGACAAUGAUACCCACAUCCUUUGAGUGAAUGAGUAUAAAAAAGGCAGUGGUCCAGG